AUUGAACGCUGGCGGCAGGCCUAACACAUGCAAGUCGAACGGUAACAGGAAGAAGCUUGCUUCUUUGCUGACGAGUGGCGGACGGGUGAGUAAUGUCUGGGAAACUGCCUGAUGGAGGGGGAUAACUACUGGAAACGGUAGCUAAUACCGCAUAACGUCGCAAGACCAAAGAGGGGGACCUUCGGGCCUCUUGCCAUCGGAUGUGCCCAGAUGGGAUUAGCUAGUAGGUGGGGUAACGGCUCACCUAGGCGACGAUCCCUAGCUGGUCUGAGAGGAUGACCAGCCACACUGGAACUGAGACACGGUCCAGACUCCUACGGGAGGCAGCAGUGGGGAAUAUUGCACAAUGGGCGGAAGCCUGAUGCAGCCAAGCCGCGUGGAUUAAGAAGGGCUUCGGGGUGGUAAGUUCUUUCAGCGGGGAGGAAGGGAGUAAAGUUAAUACCUUUGCUCAUUGACGUUACCCGCAGAAGAAGCACCGGCUAACUCCGUG
rnacentral:rRNA from 1 species